CUUCUGUUUAUGGUUGUCUCAAUCCCAAGUGCCCUUCCCCGGUAGUUGACCUUUUCUAGGACUGUUCUGUUGUCAAAAUCGUUCCAGUGAACUAAAUUCAAUCCAAUUCCCAGAAAUAACACGAUUGUGCAAAUAAAUAAAUAAAACAUUAUUAAAUACAUUUACAACCUUUCUUAUUUUUUGUUAUUGUUUUUUUUUUUUUAAGUUAGCUUUGGUUUUCCUGGCUAACCACAUGUUAGCUAAGCCUAUAGCAUACGGAAUGUUUAAAUUAGCCUGUUAGCUUAGCCCAUACCCAUCACAAAUGUUAAAAUUAGACUUUUAGCUUAGCUAGGUGCCUCACAAGUGUUUAAAUUAACAUUUAAGCUUAGCCUAUAACCUGCGUAAUUGGUCAAAUUAGCCUGUUAGCUUAGCCUAUAGUACACUUUGCAGACGUUGAGUUUAGAUGCUUAGCUUAGCUGUACCCCGCACUAAUGUUCAAAUUAGUAUUUUACCUUAGACAGUACCCCACACAAAUAUGUAAAUGAGUCUGUUUGCUUGGCCUUUACAUUUUCAAAUUAGCCUGUCAGAUUAGCCUAUACCCUACACAAAUGUUCAAUUAUUAUUUUGAUAUGUAUUACACAUUUAAGUUUGAUUAGGCCUAGCAAAAUUCCAGCAGACUGAAUUAUUUUGCAGUGUUCAAAUGUCGCUAUGCUCAUGUCAGUAGACUAAUUCACAACAUAGGCAACUAAAAACAGAAUUAUAUGUAGCAUAUAUAUGUAUAAUAUUGCCCAAUACCAUAUAAGCUCAUUAUCAAAUUGUGUGUCCUUACACUUUCAGAAAAAAAGGUACAGAAGCUGUCACUGGGGUGGUACCUUUUCAAAAGGUACAAUUUUGUACAUUCUUUACCCCUAAAGGGUGCAUAUUGGUGUAAAUAUUAGUGCCUAAAUAGUACAUAUUAGUACCUUUUGAAAGGUAUUGCCCCAUUGACAAAUUUUGUACCAUUUUUUUUUUUCAGAGAGUGUAGUCAAAACCUCUCGGGCUGUGCCAGAUGCUGCUCUUUUGAAAGUGAAUGUGUCAGUUCCACCACAGAGGCUGAAGAGACUGUUGUGCCACAUACACAUCAUUUCAAACAGCACAGUUUGCUUUCAUUUCAAAACCGUUUGAGUGGGCCAAAAGGGAACGGUGUGGCAGACUUGGUUAAAUCUAGAGGGAGUAAUCCACGGAUGUCAGCUGAGUUGGAGACUAUGGCAACUGACAGCCAGGAGCUGAGCUCUCCAGAGGCAUGUUGGCCUAUUUGCACACAAUACAAGGACUGUAGGUGUGAGUGUGUCUUCCUGUGUUUGUGUUCAUGCUGAUGCUGUUUGUAAUACAUCAAGGUUAAUUGCAUCAAUGAAUGCCUCCUGUCUGUGGUGCUUGAAUGUGACUCAUGCUAUGUAAUUGAUUGUACAUAAAUUCUUAUGACUCGGCGAUAACCACAUUCUCAUUUAAUAUGGUUUUAUCCUAUUGAAAUGUAAUGAGGAAUGCAAAUGUGGUAAUUCAUGUGUUUAUAUUGCCAAUGUGGAAUUAGCUGAAAAUGUUCUUACAUUACUGUUAGAAAAUUAUUUUCAUUCAGCAAGGACAUUUGAAUUGGUUAAAAAUGACAGUAAAGACAUUAUAAUGUUACAAAAGAUUACUAUUUUAAAUUGUAUUCAUCAAUCUCAAAUUAUAUAUUUUAUUCAUCAUGGUUUCCUCAAAAAUAUUAAUCAGCACAACUGUUUUCAACAUUGGUAAUAAUAAGAAAUGUUUCUUUAGCACCAAAUCAGCAUAUUAGAUAAUGUAAAGUCCGGAGUAUUGUUUAUCGUCACAAUUUUUGCAUUAGGAAAAGACUGGCAUUAUGAAAAAUGAUGAACUCUGGGUUAGAUGAACAGUGACCCAGUAUCUUAAAACUGUUCUACCUAGAAUCGUGAGGUCACAGUCACAGGGUUUGCUCUAUUUUCCAGGCAUUCUGAAGCCAGACGAAAGCUUUGUGUGAGGACUUCAGUGGAAAAAAAACAACUUCCUUAUUGUUACUUCUGCUGCAUCUCUCAAAUCAAAUUAUGAUCCAGUCAAGCUAACACCUCAAGUUGAACAUCAGUAUCAUAACUCAACAUCAAAGAAAAGUCCUUGGUUCGUGUAACCAAUCAUAAUGUUGUCAAACCUGUAUUAUACAGUAUUUGGUUUGAGAGCUGCAGAAGAGGUGAAGAUUAUUGGGUUCAAAUGAACAAGCAUUUAAAACGUGUUACUUGCUCCUCACGUUCUCUUAUUGUUAUCAACCUCAUAAAAUCUACACAGAAAAAUGAAACCAGAUAAACCAGGAUUAUGUUAAUCUAGUCCAAA
ensembl:lncRNA